GAUGAACGCUGGCGGCGUGCCUAAUACAUGCAAGUCGAGCGAACGGACGAGAAGCUUGCUUCUCUGAUGUUAGCGGCGGACGGGUGAGUAACACGUGGAUAACCUACCUAUAAGACUGGGAUAACUUCGGGAAACCGGAGCUAAUACCGGAUAAUAUUUUGAACCGCAUGGUUCAAAAGUGAAAGACGGUCUUGCUGUCACUUAUAGAUGGAUCCGCGCUGCAUUAGCUAGUUGGUAAGGUAACGGCUUACCAAGGCAACGAUGCAUAGCCGACCUGAGAGGGUGAUCGGCCACACUGGAACUGAGACACGGUCCAGACUCCUACGGGAGGCAGCAGUAGGGAAUCUUCCGCAAUGGGCGAAAGCCUGCCGGAGCAACGCGGCGUGAGUGAUGAAGGUCUUCGGAUCGUAAAACUCUGUUAUUAUGGAAGAACAUAUGUGUAAGUAACUGUGCACAUCUUGACGGUACCUAAUCAGAAAGCCACGGCUAACUACGUG
rnacentral:rRNA from 1 species